rnacentral:lncRNA from 1 species
GGGGGAAGGAGGGGAAGAUGGCGGAGUGAGGGGUGGAGGAGGCGGAGGGGCCGGGCCGCCCGCGGCCCCGCGGCCUCGGCCGCGCUCAGCUCCCAGAAGUGAAUGUGGAUUGAUUAAAAAUAAUGCUCUCCAGAUCUGUUUUUCCACAUCUUCAUAACAAGAAUAAGACUUUCCCAACAGUCUGAGCAUGGAUGGUCAACGAAAUGAUCAGCAGAAGUAUUUGAGUGCCUCAGAGAGAAAGAGAUGGUGACAUGUACUGUAUUUCCAUUUUCAUGAUCUUCUUGCUGCUUCUAACAUAGGAGCUGAAAAUUGUCAGUGGAAGACUAAUUCUGAACUUGAUCAACCAAAUGGUUAAGGUAAUCAGAAUAAGAUAAGUACAGACAGGGAAAAGAGAGGAAGAGGUUAGUUAUCCUCAUGUUCUUGUAUGUGAGAA